rnacentral:rRNA from 1 species
GAUGAACGCUGGCGGCGUGCUUAACACAUGCAAGUCGAACGAUUGAAGCUGGAGCUUGCUCCGGCCGAUUUAGUGGCGGACGGGUGAGUAACGCGUGGGUAACCUGCCUCAUACGGGGGGAUAGCAGUUGGAAACGACUGGUAAAACCGCAUAAGCGCACGGUGUCGCAUGACACAGUGUGAAAACACUCCGGUGGUAUGAGAUGGACCCGCGUCUGAUUAGCUAGUUGGUGAGGUAACGGCCCACCAAGGCGACGAUCAGUAGCCGGCCUGAGAGGGUGAACGGCCACAUUGGGACUGAGACACGGCCCAAACUCCUACGGGAGGCAGCAGUGGGGAAUAUUGCACAAUGGGGGAAACCCUGAUGCAGCGACGCCGCGUGAGCGAAGAAGUAUUUCGGUAUGUAAAGCUCUAUCAGCAGGGAAGAAAAAAAUGACGGUACCUGACUAAAAAGCCCCGGCUAACUACGUGCCAGCAGCCGCGGUAAUACGUAGGGGGCAAGCGUUAUCCGGAUUUACUGGGUGUAAAGGGAGCGCAGGCGGUGCGGCAAGUCUGAUGUGAAAGCCCGGGGCUCAACCCCGGGACUGCAUUGGAAACUGUCGUACUUGAGUAUCGGAGAGGUAAGUGGAAUUCCUAGUGUAGCGGUGAAAUGCGUAGAUAUUAGGAGGAACACCAGUGGCGAAGGCGGCUUACUGGACGAUAACUGACGCUGAGGCUCGAAAGCGUGGGGAGCAAACAGGAUUAGAUACCCUGGUAGUCCACGCCGUAAACG